rnacentral:misc_RNA from 1 species
GGAUCUCCGAACUGCAUUGUUAAUUCAGCAAGAUAAAGAAGCUGACAACCAGACACGAGCAGCUGCAAUAAAACAAUCUGAAAGCAUGGACACCACGGUCAAGGGAAAGUACAGUAUAUGGAGAAGAGACUACGAAAAUCCAAAUUCUGAUUCUAUGUUGAAACUAAUGCGGGAUCAGAUUAUUAUGGCCAAAGCAUAUGCAAAUAUAGCCAAAUCUGAUAAUGAAACCGGCCUUUAUGACUCACUUAUGGAACACUCUAGAGAA